GGCCAGGUAGCUCAGUUGGAAGAGCAACCCAGUGCAAUUGGGGGAAGGCCCCGGUUUUGAUCCCUGGUCUGGCCA